rnacentral:rRNA from 1 species
AUUGAACGCUGGCGGCAGGCCUAACACAUGCAAGUCGAGCGGAUGAAGAGAGCUUGCUCUCUGAUUUAGCGGCGGACGGGUGAGUAAUGCCUAGGAAUCUGCCUGGUAGUGGGGGAUAACGUUCCGAAAGGAACGCUAAUACCGCAUACGUCCUACGGGAGAAAGCAGGGGACCUUCGGGCCUUGCGCUAUCAGAUGAGCCUAGGUCGGAUUAGCUAGUUGGUGAGGUAAUGGCUCACCAAGGCGACGAUCCGUAACUGGUCUGAGAGGAUGAUCAGUCACACUGGAACUGAGACACGGUCCAGACUCCUAGGGGAGGCAGCAGUGGGGAAUAUUUGACAAUGGGCGAAAGCCUGAUCCAGCCAUGCCGCGUGUGUGAAGAAGGUCUUCGGAUUGUAAAGCACUUUAAGUUGGGAGGAAGGGCAGUAAGUUAAUACCUUGCUGUUUUGACGUUACCGACAGAAUAAGCACCGGCUAACUUCGUGCCAGCCGCCGCCGUAACAC